UGCUAAAGUUUCCCUCCCUGCCAAAGAUG
rnacentral:piRNA from 1 species